AGUAACGCGUGGAUUAUCUACCUAUUGGUACGGGACAACAGUUGGAAACGACUGCUAAUACCGUAUAAGCUGGUAACGGGAAAGGGGGCCUCUUCUUGAAAGCUCUCGCCAGUAGAUGAGUCCGCGUUUCAUUAGCUAGACGGUGGGGUAACGGCCUACCGUGGCAACGAUGAAUAGCAGGCCUGAGAGGGUGGCCUGCCACACUGGGACUGGAACACGGCCCAGACUCCUACGGGAGGCAGCAGUGGGGAAUAUUGCGCAAUGGACGAAAGUCUGACGCAGCGACGCCGCGUGGAGGAUGAAGGUUUUCGGAUCGUAAACUCCUGUCAAGAGGGAAGAAACCUAUUAGGAAUAAUACUCC
rnacentral:rRNA from 1 species